UCCCGAGUGCUGGGAUUAAAGGCGUGCACCACCCCCACCCAGCAGUUGAGGUAUUUCUUAAAGCUUUCACAAAAAACCCUUGAACGUGUUGCGGGCUGAGUAAAGACUGAGUAAAGCUGCAGUAUUAGUCUUUUCCAUUCAGACCAGCUAGCUCUUUGAGGCUUGAGGAUGGAUGGUGAAGGAGGUGUUCUGGGUCCUUUUGACAGAAGUGAUUAACGCACCUUUAUGGCCUUCAUCAAUGAUCACCACGUUGGUUCCUUUGUUGGGAACUCAGGGCUGAAGGCAGGUCAAUUUCUCUUUAGGUUUGGACUGAAAUAGAGAAUAUUAUCACUGAAGGUCCUGGAAUCACACAUCUUUUGUGUUGCUAAAUUUGACUUGCAAUCAUUGAAGUACCUUUAUGUACUCGGGUUCAUCAGAAAAUUUGUUGUGUGUUCAUCCUUGUUUGAUCUUGGUAUCAGGGUAAUAUUGACUUCAUGGAAUGAGUCUGGUAAUACUCCCUCCCCCUUCUAUUGUUAUGGAUUAGUUUGACGAGUGUGUGUUUUUUUAAACUCCAGUACAAUUUGGCAGUGAUUAAUCCAUUUGCUUCUUCUGAUCUUUUUUAGCUAAGAAAUUUUAUUCUUCAGUCUCAUUGAUCUUUGUAGGUCUGUUUAAACAUUUUCUAUUCUCUUGGUUUUAAUUUUGUAGGCAAUGUCUAGGAACUUUCUUCUUGGUAGGCCAUUUUUUCUUGGUUUUUGAAUACAGGUUUUCAAAGUAUUUCCUAAUUUGCCUCUGGAUUUCAUUGAUAUUUUUUAUAUUUUCUCUUUUCUAUGUCUAAUUUUUCUGAUUUGCUUCUUUUAUUAACAGUAUUUGCCUUGAAGAACCAAGUGUUUGUUUCAAUGAGUCUUUGUUUUUCUUUGUUUUGUUUGGUUUUUUCAUUUCCAUCUUCCUAUUUCUGCCCUGAGCUUGAUUAGGCUGUUGGAGAAGCAUUUGUUGUUUUUGUAAUUUUGUUCUGUUGAAAUUUGCCAUUUAGUACUGGACUAUGUUCCUUUUCUUUUUUUCUAUUGAGGCAGGAUUUCUGUGUAUAGCCCUGGCUGUCCUGGAACUCACUCUGUAGACCAGGCUGGCCUCGAACUCAGAAAUCCACCUGCCUCUGCCUCCUCAGUGCUGAAAUUAAAGGGGUGUGGCACCACUGCCUGGCUUGGAAUAUAUAUUUUUAAAUUAAAUUUAUUUACUUAUUUAGUUUACAACCCCAUAUCAGCCCUUCCUCUCCUCUCAGUGUCCUCUCAUGUAAGUUAUCCCCACAAUCCCCCCCUAAUCUCCAUCCCCCACCCCAGAAUACACACACACACACACACACACACACACACACACACACACACACAAUUUAGUUUUUAUUCAUGUGCGUGGGGUGGGAAGGCAUGAAUGACAACAUAUUUGUGGAGGUCAGAUGACAACUUAAAGAAGUCACUUUCUUCUCCCCUUGGAGUCCUAGGGAUUGAACUCAAGUCCUCAAGCUUCGUGGUGAGUGCCUCACUAGCCCUGACAUAACAUUUCAGUGUGCAUUUCUUUCUUUCUUUUUUUUUGGUUUUUCGAGACAGGGUUUCUCUGUAUAGCCCUGGCUGUCCUGAAACUCACUUUGUAGACCAGGCUGGCCUCAAACUCAGAAAUCUGCCUGCCUCUGCCUCCCGAGUGCUGGGAUUAAAGGUGUGCGCCACCAUGCCGGCUUCAGUGUGCAUUUCUUAUUUCAUGUUUUUGGUAAUAUUGGAAUCUGUUAUUUAUAUUUGUCUUAUACCAUGAGAAUGCUAGAUAAAAUAGAAACUCUAGUGCUUUUCUUGUGUUCAGAGUUGGUUGUAAAGCAUUGGAACUGACUUGCAACUUUGACAGUGCAUUUGGAACUGCAAAUAAAUGCGUAGUAGAGUAGGGAUUUAAUGUUUACAAAGCCUGGAAGUGCUUUUAAAAACUCAGUCAUCUUUCUCCUUCAUUCCAUGAAUUCUUAAUUUGGCUUUUUGUUAUGCUGAUCUAUUUAUUUUCUUUGCUGUCUGAUAGAAUUUCUUUACCCUUGUCUUCCAUCCCUGGUAUUGUUUUCUGCUUGGUUUAGUCUAUUGUUUUAUUUACUUAUGUAGGAAUGUUUCUUGUUCAUGUUUAUCAUGUGUGUGCCUGAUACUUGAGGUGUCAGAUGAAGGCAUUUGAUCCUGUAGAACUGGAGUUAAAGACUGUUGUACGCCACGUGUGGGGUUAGCAAGAGCUCUUAACCACUGGAUCAUCUCCAGCCUUUUGAUUUUAGUGUAUUGGUUGGUGAAACUUUCCAUUCUGGUUUUCUGUCUCCCCUUGCCCACUCUCAAAGUCUCUUUUUUUGCUGAACUUUUUAUCAGUCUUGUUAAUUUCAUGUCUGUAUUUCAGGCCUUUGAAAUCUGGAUCUAUAAUUGACUUUCUUACUUACUUCAUCUGUUUUGUUUUCUAAAAAUAUUUUUACUGGCAGAAAUCCUUUUUCCAGUAUUGGAACUACCUUAAUAUCUGGAUUUGUUGAUUGAGGAAUUAGCUUUUGUAUAUGCUAUGCUGAUUUGUUUUUUCAUGGUUCUUGAUGCACCUGUCUGUAUGGGAUAUCUCUUCCAGUUUUAGUGGAGGAUUUUUUUUUUUUAAACUGAGAAACUUUUUCUUGAGGGAUCAACCUCCACUAUCGUUCAGAGAGGAGAAAACUGAGGUGCUAUAAUCAAACCUGAUAUGGGAAUACAGUUAAAAUCAAUGCUAACUUGUAUAAUUCCUAUGACCACAGAACAGAAAAUAACUAAAAGAGAGCAGAAUACAUUAUCACCUUAAAUUUUUUUUAAAGAUUUAUUUAUUAUAUGUUAAGUACAGUGUAGCUGUCUUCAGACACACCAGAAGAGGGCGUCAGAUCUCGUUACGGAUGGUUGUGAGCCACCAUGUGGUUGCUGGGAUUUGAACUCCCGACCUUUGGAAGAGCCGUCAGGUACUUUUACUCUCUGAGCCAUCUCACCAGCCCAUCACCUUAAAUUUUAUUAAGGAUAAAAGUAAAAGUAGUAAAUGAACAAAAUAAAGGUCAAAAGAAAGCAGAACCAAAACUAAGAGAAAAAGAAAGAUGAAUGUUAGGAAGACAAAAAAAGAACAGGAAUAUUAAAGUAUUACACAUUAAAGAAAAAUGCAUAAACAAAAUUAGAUAAAUGUAAGAAGAAUAAAAAAAGUUUUUCUGGGAGGGAAAAGCUACCAUUAUGUAGCCUUUUAAAUCUGUACUAUGGCUAUAUUUUUGUGAUUAUUUUUCUGUAAUGAGAGCAACUAAAAUUAAACAAGUAUUUACCUG
rnacentral:lncRNA from 1 species